GGGGACGUAGGCUAACCCGGCAGACUGGUGGGCUCCAGACCCGCUGAUCUGGGUUCAAAUCCCAGCGUCCCCACCA
rnacentral:tRNA from 1 species